ACGGCUCAGUAACACGUGGCUAACCUGCCCUUGGGAUAGGGACAACCCCGGGAAACUGGGGCUAAUCCCCAAUAGGCGAAGAACUCUGGAAUGAGUCUUCACCCGAAAGGAUGCUUGCACUAUGCUUGCAGGCCUCGCCCAAGGAUGGGGCCGCGACCGAUCAGGUUGUUGGUGAGGCAACGGCUCACCAAGCCUCUAACCGGUGCGGGCCGUGGGAGCGGGAGCCCGGAGAUGGGCACUGAGACAAGGGCCCAGGCCCUACGGGGCGCAGCAGUCGCGCAAACUUUGCAAUACACGAAAGUGUGACAGGGCUAUCCCGAGUGCCAUCCGCUGAGGAAGGCUUUUACCCAGUCUAGAACGCUGGGGGAAUAAGGAGAGGGCAAGUCUGGUGUCAGCCGCCGCGGUAAUACCAGCUCUCCGAGUGGUGUGGAUGUUUAUUGGGCCUAAAGCAUCCGUAGCUGGCUGAGUUAGUCCCUUGUUAAAUCCACCGAAUUAAUCGUUGGAUUGCGGGGGCUACUGCUCGGCUAGGGGACGAGAGAGGCAGACGGUAUUUCCGGGGUAGGGGUGAAAUCCUAUAAUCCCGGGAAGACCACCAGUGGCGAAGGCUGUCUGCUAGAACGCGCCCGACGGUGAGGGAUGAAAGCUGGGGGAGCGAACCGGAUUAGAUACCCGGGUAGUCCCAGCUGUAAACGAUGCAGGCUAGGUGUUUGGACGGCCACGUGCCGUUCUAGUGCCGCAGGGAAGCUGUUAAGCCUGCCGCCUGGGGAGUACGAUCGCAAGAUUGAAACUUAAAGGAAUUGGCGGGGGAGCAC
rnacentral:rRNA from 1 species